rnacentral:misc_RNA from 1 species
CUAGUACCAACUGGGUGA